AUGCCAGAUAUUAUAUACUUCGGCCAGUCCGGCUUUAUUAGAGGGAGAGGUAUCGCUGAUAACUUCCUCCAUGCCGCCGACAUCGUCCAGUCGUGUUUCAAAAGGAAAAAAUCUUCUAUCGUCCUUAAACUGGACUUUCAUAAAGCCUUUGAUUCUGUCUCCUCGGACGCCCUGACCGCCAUCCUACGUGCCAAAGGCUUUCCUUUGCAAUGGGAUGGCUGGAUCCGAUCUCUCAACGAUACCGCAAACUCCGCCAUCUUGCUAAAUGGACGCCCCGGUCCGUGGUUACCCUGCAAAUGUGGUCUUAGGCAAGGGGAUUCCCUCUCCCAGUACCUUUUCCUGGUGAUUGCCGACGUUCUUCAGCGUAUGAUCAUUCACGCUUCUCAUUCUGGACUGCUCUCUCACCCUCUAGACGAUAACCACCCAUGCCCGGUACUGCAAUACACCGAUGACACGCUGAUCGUGCUGCCGGCGAUCGCAGAGCAGUUGCACCACCUCAAGCAGUUGUUGUCUCAAUUCUCCGCGGCCACUGGCCUCACUAUUAAUUUCCACAAAAGCACGUUCGCCCCUAUCCACGUAGAGCCGGAAACCUCCCGUACUCUUGCGGCGAUCCUCAGUUGCGUUGUCGCCAGUUUCCCGUAG
rnacentral:rRNA from 1 species